CAAAGCUUCAGUGAAUCACACCAGAUGUGGUGAGCCACAAGACCAAGUGAAAAAGGUUGCUAGAAGGGAAGCACUAUUCAAUGAUACAUCUAUGUCUCUGGAAAGAUGAACUGUAACAGACGGUUAUGGUUCAGGGUUUAAUGAAUAUGGAAACAAAUUACAAGGGAUUCAAAUGAAGAUUUCAAGUGGGAAUCAAGCUGUAGUUUUGCAAUGCAGCUAAGUAACAAGGACUAUAAGAGCAAUAUUAAGUAACAAGGACUAUAAGAGCAAUAUGCCAUCAUUUGCCAUAAGCCCAAACAGCCAAGCUAAAGAGUUAUUUAAUUUACCCGGGGGGAGGGGGAGUUUCUUACCAGUCCUAUGAGUUGUCUCCCACCAAGCCACACAGAAUAGAACCACAGAUAUCAAUGGACAUAACUAAUUCCAGGGUGUAUCUAUUCCAGUAGGAAAUUCUGAAGUGCAGAACUCUUAAAGACAUGGCCCAUGGCCAUUUCCCGAUAUUCAUAUACCUUCUAAGGCUAUACAACAGAAACAAACCUUUUACCACGGUAGAUGAUAUGGCUUCAAUACCAAGCCAGCUUUCCCCCCUUCUCUCUCCCCACCUCCCCUUUACUUACCAUUGAGCUGAUGAAGAGCUCUGGUACACUCAAAAGCUUGCUCACAAUAUCGUGACGUUUUGGUUGUUCGUCUUCAAAAUAUUUUAUUUUUAUCUUAUUUUACCUUAUCCUCAGGCCAGCCACUUGUCUCUCAGCCUAAUCUACCACACAGGGCUAUUGUGAGGAUAAAUGGAGAGGAGAAGAAUCAUGUCACCUUGAUUACCUUGGAAAAAAGGUGGGAAGUAAUAAUAAUAAUAAUAAUAAUAAUAAUAAACUUGGGGAAAGAUUACAUGGAAGGAUUGCACGAAAUUUCAUUCAACCCUUAAUCUCUUUACUAUUUGUUUAAGAAAUCUGCACUAUUAAGACUAAACUACCCCAGAUUUCUUGAGAGUCCCAUGGGCUGCAAGAAGAUCAAACCUAUCCAUUCUUAAGGAAAUCAUCCCUGAGUGCUCACUGGAAGGACAGUUCCUGAAGCUGAGGCUCCAAUACUUUGGCCACCUCAUAAGAAGAGAAGACUUCCUGGAAAGGAGCCUGAUGUUGGGAAAGAUGGAGGGCACAACGAGAAGAGGACGACAGAGAAUGAGAUGGUUGGACAGUGUUCUCGAAGCUACAAACAUGAGUCUGACCAAACUGUGGGAGGCAGUGGAAGACAGGAGUGCCUGGCGUGCUCUGGUCCAUGGGGUCAUGAAGAGUCGGACACGACUAAACAACAACUCCAGAUUUCAGCCAUAUACAAAUAAAGCACAAUGCUAGGUUUCUUUGCAAAAGGACAAGUAAUUUACAGAUUUCUAAACUACAGGCCUAAGCAAAGCUUUGGUCAACAGCCACAUGUGACCCUGCAGGGCUAAUGGCAGUCUCCAAGGGCAGUGUGAACCAACUAAAUGCUGUUUAAUCAUUCCAUUCCUUUCAGCUUCUAUAAACCUUUCACAGGAUUGGAUAUAUUUCUACACCCCAUACAUACCUCCAGCAUCACCACCUUUCAAGAACAGUACAAAAAGCUGCAUAUUCCAAUUCCUGCCUCUAGCAAGAUUUAUAAAAUUCAUAACCCAAAAAAGGGAAUUGCCACUUGGCUGGUCAAUCACUUUCACAGGAGCCCAGGGACUUUCUGGAAACUGGUCCUUGCCCAGGGGGACGAAACCAAGAUAACACUGGGGAAACAGAUAACUUAUCAACUCUUAUCGCUAAUCAAUCACCUUGAUCAAUCUGGGCAGCUAGUGCGUCAGCUUUUAGUAUUCGUGUAAUUUAAACCUUGGCUAUUGGAGCAAGGAAACCCUACGAUCAAGCCCAGCUGUCCUCAAAACCGGCCAACAAAAUAUUCUCCCUUUGGCAUUUAGAGUGAUAAAGAGACCACUGGACAUGUUAAAUAGCAUAAGAAUCUGGUACCGGACAGCAGGAAUUAAGAGCAGAUUGCCAUCAGAUCACUGUCAAGACUUGCCUCCCAGCAGGAAAUGAAUUAUUUAAAGCUCCAUGCAUUCUCAUCUGGGAGGAAGCCGCAAUGAAUCCACUAGGACUUGCUUCCAAGUAAAUAUGGUGUUCUGCUUAAAUCUGCCCAAGGACACAGUGGAGAUGACAGGUUUCACAUAAUAUUCUUAGCAUUUCUUCAUAAUUUAAAUUCGGUUUGCACAUUUGGUUGACAGUGAUUCUAUUGCAGUUAAGUUUCUCUCCUGAGCUUCCCUCAUCCACCAUAGUGACACAGAUGUGAGCAGACAGGAUCGAAGCUUGAAAAGCAGUUUUAAAUCUUGCAUUAUUCAAAGUAUGUCAACUGCUUAGUGAAACUAGUUAAUUAUUGAAACUCCUUUGGAUAGCUAGUUACUGCUUGGGGCCAGGAGAACAAUUACAUUCUAUCUGCAGCAGACAUAGUUUCUUUUAAGUGAGUUGCAAGGUCAAAUAUCUAAGAUUAUUCGAGAAGGCAGAUACACCAUUUCAAAGUGUCUUUUGUCUGCAAAACCCUCUAUGAAUCAAAGAGAGAAGGUUAAUUACUUUGUUUUUCAGGAAAGCUGCAGUUCCAUCAUGAAUGGCAUAACAUAGCAGAGAACUCUCCCUCUCUCUUUACUUCUUCGAAAGAAUGGAGUUUCCAUUUAUUUUUUAAAAAAUAAAAACCCUGUCAUUUAAACUGUUUGACCUUCACCAUUUUACAAAACCAUAUGAGCAGGAACCCCACC
rnacentral:lncRNA from 1 species